rnacentral:misc_RNA from 1 species
UGGCUUUAGAGGGCGUUACAUGGACUAAACUAUUUCUGAACCGGAACUAAAACCAUCAAAAAUCGGAACCGAAACCAGAAUUGAACUAGACCAGAAACUGUUGGAUCUGUGGCCUACCAUCCGGAUCUGGUUCAUACCCUGGCCAGGCCCUAAAUUGCCAGUUCCAGCCUGGAACCAGCCCAGGCCAGACGGGUGGCCAAGCCAAGAUGGACUUUGUAUUAAAUUGUAAGGAAAAAAAAAAGGGUAAAUGAAGCAUGAUAUGAUCAACAAGGAAUUAACUAAGUGAAGCAUGACAUGAUCAAAACACUGCAACUAUGUUGUCUUGAGUAGAUGAAACAAAUCAUACCACACAUGCUGUUUUGAUGAAA